rnacentral:siRNA from 1 species
AUGAAAUACUCUCUACAAACAAUC